CUGGAGGCAGCAGUGGGGAAUUUUCGGCAAUGGGGGCAACCCUGACCGAGCAACGCCGCGUGCAGGACGAAGGUUUUCGGAUCGUAAACUGCUUUUCUUGGGGACGAGCAAGGACGGUACCCAAGGAAUCAGCCCCGGCUAACUACGUGCCAGCAGCCGCGGUAAUACGUAGGGGGCGAGCGUUAUCCGGAGUUACUGGGCGUAAAGGGCACGCAGGCGGUCGUGUAAGUUUGGGGUUACAGCUCCCGGCUCAACUGGGAGAGCGCCUUGAAGACUGCAGGACUUGAGGGCCACAGAGGGACACAGAAUUCCGGGUGUAGUGGUGAAAUGCGUAGAUAUCCGGAGGAAUACCAAAGGCGAAGGCAGUGUCCUGGGUGGCACCUGACGCUCAGGUGCGAAAGCUAGGGGAGCGAACGGGAUUAGAUACCCCGGU
rnacentral:rRNA from 1 species